UAACCUGCCCAAGAGAUCGGGAUAACACCUGGAAACAGAUGCUAAUACCGGAUAACAACAGAUGAUGCCUAUCAACUGUUUAAAAGAUGGUUCUGCUAUCACUCUUGGAUGGACCUGCGGUGCAUUAGCUAGUUGGUAGGGUAACUGCCUACCAAGGCGAUGAUGCAUAGCCGAGUUGAGAGACUGAUCGGCCACAUUGGGACUGAGACACGGCCCAAACUCCUACGGGAGGCAGCAGCC
rnacentral:rRNA from 1 species